AGUAAAUGAUGCCUGAACAAAAGCGACCCAUUGGUGGUGGGUUACAUCCCCUUCUGCUGAAAUGAAUGCCAUGCCAAUCAUAUUUGUGUAUGGCAAGAAGAGAAACAGACAGCAUCUAGCUGAGUCAGCCUUGUCUGUGUUUUGCCUUCAAGUAUCCUUAAUUACGGAUGGGGAGCUGAAUUUGCACAGACCUCAAAUAUUCAGUGACUUUUGGAUCUCAUUAUGGACAUACAUACACAUAUGCCCCCUAUUGGUUCUUGCGUUUCAGUUUAAUGAAGACAGACCAGCUAUUAAAC
rnacentral:lncRNA from 1 species